AGACGAACAAACAAAGCAUUCAGCGGGAGAGCAAAAGGCGUCACAGUGCGAAGUUGACCUGGAACUGCGUCCGUGCGCAAAUGACAGCUUCAAGACGACCUUAUUUUUUGACAAGUCCAGUAAGCGAUGCGUGGAGAGAAGUGCCUUCAUACCUGGCUGCUUGCGCGAGCCCAGUGACACCGGGACCAUAGGAACCAUAGACACGGACACCGCUUGCCUACAGCUCUGUGAAAGCAAAAGGCCAGUGGACUCACGGUGCUACGUGACAUGGGAGCUCCGUACCUGCGAAGCUGCAGACAUAUUGCCACUCUUUGUGGUACAGCAGGAUCCUCAAACAAGCAACGUCGUCUGCAAAGCACUGCAAGCAGACGGUCGUUGUCCACCAGAAGGCAAAGCCUACACUUCGCAGCAAGCAUGCGAAAAAGCUUGCGUAAAUGUUCCAACCAAGUGUCCACCGUGGGAUAACGUCUACGACUCCUGGUGUGCAAGGACGUACCGGAAACGUCAGGCGUUUUUUAAUAUCUUCACAGGAAAGUGCGAUUCUAUUACUGAGGUUUGCAUCGCCGGAAUCAACAGCUUCAUGACGAAGGCCGAAUGUGAAAAUACGUGCAGCCACUGACGUGAAGCACGCAAUAGCUAUGCGGCGUAUAUAUACAAACAUUGCUGUACACACAUCUAUAAAUUACAUCCAGUAAAUACUUACAAUGGCAUA